rnacentral:rRNA from 1 species
UUAUAUGGAGAGUUUGAUCCUGGCUCAGGACGAACGCUGGCGGCGUGCCUAAUACAUGCAAGUCGAGCGGACGGAUGGGAGCUUGCUCCCUGAAGUCAGCGGCGGACGGGUGAGUAACACGUGGGCAACCUGCCUGUAAGACUGGGAUAACUUCGGGAAACCGGAGCUAAUACCGGAUAAUGCAUAACCUCUCAUGAGGUUAUGCUGAAAGAUGGUUUCGGCUAUCACUUACAGAUGGGCCCGCGGCGCAUUAGCUAGUUGGUGAGGUAACGGCUCACCAAGGCAACGAUGCGUAGCCGACCUGAGAGGGUGAUCGGCCACACUGGGACUGAGACACGGCCCAGACUCCUACGGGAGGCAGCAGUAGGGAAUCUUCCGCAAUGGACGAAAGUCUGACGGAGCAACGCCGCGUG